GCGCUCACAGGGCCUUGGGUCAGCUGGCAGCGCUCCCAGCGCUGUGCCUCGCGCUCCGGCCGCGAUGAGCUCACCA